CCUACGGGUGGCAGCAGUGGGGAAUAUUGCACAAUGGGCGAAAGCCUGAUGCAGCAACGCCGCGUGAAGGAAGAAGGGUUUCGGCUCGUAAACUUCUAUCAACAGGGACGAAAGAAAUGACGGUACCUGAAUAAGAAGCCCCGGCUAACUACGUGCCAGCAGCCGCGGUAAUACGUAGGGGGCAAGCGUUAUCCGGAAUUACUGGGUGUAAAGGGUGAGUAGGCGGCAUGGUAAGCCAGAUGUGAAAGCCUUGGGCUUAACCCGAGGAUUGCAUUUGGAACUAUCAAGCUAGAGUACAGGAGAGGAAAGCGGAAUUCCUAGUGUAGCGGUGAAAUGCUUAGAGAUCAUACAGAACACCGAUUGCGAAGGCAGCUUACCAAGCUACUUCUGACGUUGAGGCACGAAAGCGUGGGGAGCAAACAGGAUUAGAUACCCCAGUAGUC
rnacentral:rRNA from 1 species